AAACUAUUAUGUGGAUGACUUGGCUUGUGUAGCGAAGAAGGGCGCGGUAAGCUGCGAUAAUCUUAAGGUAGGGGCAUACUCCCAUUGAACUUAAGGUUCCUGAAUUGGACUUCCUAUUUAUUCGCACGACGAAGGCAAGACCUGGGAAACUGAAACAUCUAAGUACCCGGAGGAAAAGAAAUCAAUUGAGAUUCUGUUAGUAACGGCGAGUGAAACCAGAUCAGAUCAAACUGAAUCCUGUAUAGUAAUAUACAGGAGAUGUGGUGUAUGGAGCUAUUUUCUAUCCUAACUCAACUUCAAAAUUAUCUGGAAAGAUAAGUCUUAGAGGGUGAUAACCCCGUAUGAAAGUUAGAGUCAAGGAUUUUAUAGAUUUCCAGAGUAGCGUAUAUUGGAAAUUAUGCGCGAAUACGGGGGGCACUAACCCCCAAAUCUAAAUAUAACACAAGACCGAUAGCGUACUAGUACCGCGAGGGAAUGUUGAAAAGUGCUCUUAAUCGAGUGUGAAAAGAUCUGAAACAUAAUAGUGAUAGCAUGUAGCGGCCUUUAGGGGUUGCUACGUACGUUCUGAAUAACGGACCAGGGAGUGUUUUCAUAUGGCAAGACGAAAGUCGAAGCGAAAGCGAGUUGUCGCAAUUUUUGAGGACAAGGGUGUUAACUGCGCCUUUAGUCAUGUGGAAACGACCCGAAACCAGAUGAUCUAUACCUGGACAGGCUGAAGCGAGAGUUAAAUCUCGUGGAGGGCCGAAGCGAUAUCGAGUCUAUUGAUUCGUGUGAUUUGGGUAUAGGGGUGAAAAGCCUAUCGAAUCUGGUGAUAGCUGGUUCCAGUCAAAAUUGGCCUUAGUCAAGUCUCAGUAGAGAAUGUUAUGAGGGUAGAGAUACUAAUUGGUGUUUUGGGGGGAUACGUCCCUUCAUACAUCAGUUAAACUCCGAAUCUUAUAACUUCGUAGAAGCUGGGAAACGGGAUUGCGUGGGGUAAGCUUGCAAUCCGUGAGGGGAACAACCCAGACUGCAGUUAAGGUCCCUAAAUACCAACCAAGUGAUAAAGGGUAAAGGGUGUGAGUAUUCGAAGACAAAGAGGAGGUUUGCUUAGAAGCAGCAAUCCUUUAAAGAGUGCGUAACAGCUCACUCUUCGAGAGUAUUUGCCCCGAAGAUAAUCGGGUCUAAGUUGGUUACCGAUACUGCGGUUCAUAAGCACGGCUUAUGUAAGGUAGACUGGUGCAGUGCGAGGGUAGAAGCAAGUCUUGAAGGAUUUGUGGACCUCGCAGUGAUAAGAAUCCUGGUGGUAGUAGGAAAAUAGCGGUGUGAGAGUCACCGCGGACGAAAGGGCAAGGGUUCCUUCUCAAUGUAGAUCAGAGAAGGGUUAGUCAUUUCUAACCUGCAUCCUAAUUGGACUGCAAGGGAAAGGGAAACAGGUUAAUAUUCCUGUACUAUUUGAAUAGAUAUGGCAACACAAGUUCAGUUUUGGACGGUUCAGGCUAACUGUUACUAAGCGAAGCUUAGUUCAAGAAAAAUAAAACAAUGGAGUGCUGUUACGGCGAGAAGUUGUUUAAGUUUUCACGUAUAAUUUAUGGCGAUGCCUAGACCCAUUGAAAACAAAAUUGUUCCGAUUUCAAAUAAGUGUACCCACAACCGGCACAGGUGCCCCUGGGUGAUAAGCCCAAGUCCUGUAAGGGAUACUUGUCGUAAGGGAAUUCGGCAAAUUAGCCACAAAUCUUCGGUAUAUGUGGUCCCUGAGCUACUAAUUUAUUUUAUGUAAUCUCAGGGUGCAAUUACAAAGACGGUCCGACUGUUUAACUAAAACAUAGCCAACUGCUAGCCCGUAAGGGUGCGUAUAGUUGGUGAAGUCUGCCCACUGCCAGUAACUAAAACCCCUUUUCAAGGGGGCCAAGGUCUGGUAAAGGGCGGGGAUAACUAUGAUCCUCUUAAGGUAGCGUAAUACCUUGCCGUUUAAAUGACGGCUUGCAUGAAUGGCGUAACGAGAUUGUCACUGUCCCUACGAUGAACCUUCCGAAUACACCUUCCCGGUGCAAAGGCCGGGGACCUCAAGUGGGAAGUAAAGACCCCGUUGAACUUUACUGCAGCCUGCUAUUGUGAUCAAUUUUGUAAUAUAACAAGGAGCUUCGGCAACAUGUGAAACUUGUUGUUAUGAGGUUGGUUGCUUAUCUCUAUAUGAGAAACAGUAGUUGGUGGGCAGUUUGGCUGGGGUGGCACCCUGCUGAAAAGAUAUCAGCAGGGCCCAAAGGUUGGCUCAGUUGGUUUAGAAAUCCAACGUAGAGUGUAAGGGCAAAAGCCAGCUUUAUUCUGAUUACCACAAUACUAAUCGGAAUUAGGAAACUAUGGCCUAACGAUCUCCAAUGUGCUCCUUAGUGGGGCCUUGGAUUGACAGAAAAGUUACCACGGGGAUAACAGAGUUGUCGCUCCUGAGAGUUCAUAUCGACGGAGCGGUUUGCUACAUCGAUGUCGGCUCAUCCUAACCUGGUAGUGCAGCAGCUACCAAAGGUGGGGGUGUUCACCCAUUAAAAGGGUUCGUGAGCUGGGUUCACAACGCUGUGAGGCAGUUGGUAUAAUAUCUGCUUGGGGUGUUGGUAUCUGCGAGAAAGACGCACUUAGUACGAAAGGAACGGUGGGUCGCGGCCACUGGUCUAUCUGUUGUCUAUAUAGGCAUUGCAGAGCAGCUACGCCGUCAGGGAUAAAGGCUGAAAGCAUCUAAGCCUGAAACCCUCCUCUAAAAAAGAUACUUUGUUUGCUCGAAGAAGACGAGCUUGAUAGGAGAGCGAUGUAAUAUGGAAGCUACGGCGACUAUUUCAGUCGGCUCUUACUAAAUAACACU
rnacentral:rRNA from 1 species